rnacentral:rRNA from 1 species
UAUUUUUUUUUUUUCCCUCCCCUCCUCUUUUUUUUAUAAGGAGGGGGGGAAUAUAGGCCCCCCCCGAAAAAGAAAAAUUUUGUGUGGGUGUUUUAAAACCCCUUUUUUUAAAUUUUUUUCUUUUUUUAUAAAAAAAACCAUUUUUUUUUUAUAGUAUUUAAAAAGGGUUUCGCGGGUUUGAGAAGAGGGAGGUUUGUCCUUUUUUUUUUUUAUUUUUUUUGGGGGAGGGGGAAACGGGCUUUCCCCCUAGGCCUUACGAAAUAAAAAGGGGGCCCCUUGAGAGGGGGGGGCCCCCCCCCCCCCUGGGUUUUUGAGACCCCCGGGCCCCGGACUUCCUUCCGGGGGGGCAAGCAAUUAAAGGAAAUUUUGGUCCAAAAGGACGAAAAUUUUGAACCCAACCCAUCCCCGCGUGCCAGGAUGAAAUGCCUUAUGGGUUUUUAAACUGGCUUUUUAUACAGGGAGGAAAAAUUUUCUUCGUGAGAAAAGCUUGCCGGUACUGUAAGAUUAAGGAUUGGGCUAACUCCGUGCCCACCAGCGCCGGUAAUACGGAGGAUUCAAAGCGUUAUCCGGAAUUAUUGGGUUUAAAGGGUCCGUAGGUGGAUAAUUAAGUCAGAGGUGAAAUCCUGCAGCUUACUUGUAGAAUUGCCUUUGAUUCUGGUUAUCUUGAGUUAUUAUGAAGUGAUUAGAAUGUGUAGUGUAGCGGUGAAAUGCAUAGAUAUUACACAGAAUACCAAUUGCGAAGGCAGGUCACUAAUAAUCAACUGACACUGAGGGACGAAAGCGUGGGUAGCGAACAGGAUUAGAUACCCUGGUAGUCCACGCCGUAAACGAUGGUCACUAGCUGUUUGGACUUCGGUCUGAGUGGCUAAGCGAAAGUGAUAAGUGACCCACCUGGGGAGUACGUUCGCAAGAAUGAAACUCAAAGGAAUUGACGGGGGCCCGCACAAGCGGUGGAGCAUAUGGUUUAAUUCGAUGAUACGCGAGGGACCUUACCAGGGCUUAAAUGUUUGGUGACAGAUCUAGAAAUAGGUUUUUCUUUGGACACUAAACAAGGUGCUGCAUGGUUGUCGUCAGCUCGUGCCGUGAGGUGUCAGGUUAAGUCCUAUAACGAGCGCAACCCCUGUUGUUAGUUGCCAGCGAGUAAUGUCGGGAACUCUAACAAGACUGCCAGUGCAAACUGUGAGGAAGGUGGGGAUGACGUCAAAUCAUCACGGCCCUUAUGUCCUGGGCUACACACGUGCUACAAUGGUAGGUACAGAGAGCAGCCAAUGCGCGAGCAUGAGCAAAUCUAUAAAACCUAUCUCAGUUCGGAUCAAAGGGUGCAACUCGACUCCGUGAAGCUGGAAUCGCUAGUAAUCGGAUAUCAGCAAUGUUCUUUUGAUUUCGGCCC